UGUGAUCUCCGUCUGUCAAAUAAAUAAAUAAAAUCUUAAAAAAAAAAAAAAACAGAUUAGUGAGUGGAUCUCUUACAUGUAAAUUCUGAGCACUUUUCAGAUGGCUCUUUUUGCCCUGAGUGCUGGGGUAAGUGAUCCCUGUGUGAGCCCUUUAAGAGCUGCUUCUCAGUUCACUAUGGCUCUGUGGGUCUCAUGGAUAUGAGCCCCAUUGGUUUUCAAAGUCACAUGUUUUUGAGGCUCAUCUCCCAGGUGCAAGUCUUAACAGUUGGGGUGCCCAUUGUAGGUUAUGAGUCCUUCACUCCUCAGGGAGAAGCUCUGGGUUUGUGAGUUCCCUCCUAAUUAGGAGUCACUGAACUGACAGUGAGCUUUAUAGUGAGGUAUUGUGUGUUAACCUCUCCUACCUUUCUUCAGUGUAGCCUUGUUUGUUUGCCUGAUAUGAAGGAUUUGCUCAGCUAGUUUUCAGUGGAAAUUUUUCCACAGGUAGCCGUGGAUUUAGUGUGUAUCUGGAAGAAGUUGAGUUCAGGAUCUUUUUGUGUCACCAUCUGGAAGUGCUUCUCAUAGCUUUCUAGGUGUCUGAAUUAUUUCUGAAUGAAUUAGGUCUCUAGAUUGGUUGAUCAAUAGCAUUUAUUAAACUAUGUAAAAAGUAAUGUUGGGUUAGACAUCUCUUCUGUGAUGUGCUUCAUUUAUGAAAAUCAAGGACUUUCAAAAAGAAAACUCUUUUUGGAAAUAGUAAUUUUGCUUAUUGUACUCUACUCAAUAUAUGACAUCAUAUGCACACGAGAAGAAAAAUGGCCGUCUAAACACGGUGAUUUGCAGAGAGUCCUCACAAAUUACAUAAACAUUUGUAAGAGUUUUGUGCUUAAUUUUGGACUCCACACAUGGAAAGAGGAGAAAAAAACUCAGAGGUAAGUAGCACACAUGAUGAUUUGAGGAAACAAGAUUUGGAUGACGAAUGAAAAAUGUUUGAAUAGUAAAAUGGAGAGAUCAAGAUUGACUUAAUUUGAGAUAUGAGAAGGAACAUAGGUGAUGGUGAGGAUCUCCUUUUUAUUUUAGUCAAUAAUUAGUUUUAAACCGUCAUAAAUGAUACUGUACUCUGGAAAAACUUGAUUCCCAAAGCCUGAGGAGCAUAAUGGCACACAGUCAUGGGAAAGUUUGGCAAAGAAAAGGGGAAAUAACUUCUGUCAGUAAUAGUUUAGGUGAGGUUCUGCCUCGGAAGAGUUUCAAAGAUGAGUGACCUUUAAAUAUUUUUUCACUUCAUGGUGAAUCUAUAGAAUUCAUUUCUAAGGGUGGUGCCAUGAGCCCUUUUGGGUGGUGUGUGUGUGCAUGUGUAAUAGGGAGGGGGGAGCAAGAAAGAAUACACCUCGAAAGUUUUAGAAUUGUUGCUUCAUCUUAAAUUUAAAUCUAUAAACAGGAUGGUCAAGGUUUUAACUUGUUGGAUGGCCAUUAGGCCAUGUUACAAUACAAAUUAUUUGAAUACUUAGAGAUUAUGUAUAUGAAACUUCCAGACAUUUCAGUGAAAAUUGUUAAGUGAUGUAAAAGUACAGCUGUUGAAAAUGCAGACAUUUAAAGUGAGGGGAUCACAACUAA